GAUGAAGAACGCAGCGAAAUGCGAUAAGUAAUGCGAAUUGCAGAAUUCCAGUGAGUCAUCGAAUCUUUGAACGCACAUUCCGCCCUUUGGUAUUCCGAAGGGCAUGCCUGUUCGAGCGUCAUUAUCACCCCUCAAGCCCUCGGCUUGGUGUUGGACGGUUUGGUGGAGGCCCCCUCGGGGGCUCCUGCCCCUCCCAAAGACAAUGACGGCGGCCUCGUUGGACCCCCGGUACACUGAGUUCUUCACGGGACACGUAUCGGACACAUGGGUUUACGGGACACGGUCUGCCUCCCCUCAGGGAGAAUCUUUCUAAGGUUGACCUCGGAUCAGGUAGGGAUACCCGCUGAACUUAAGCAUAUCAAUAAGCGGAGGA
rnacentral:misc_RNA from 1 species